rnacentral:lncRNA from 1 species
UUUCAUUACAUUAAAUCCCUUUGAGAUUUUAUGGGUGUAUUUCUUCUCGAGGGAAGUUCUGAGUAGUGCAACAAUCUAUUUUGUGAAUACAGCUGAGAAGAGUUAGAUAUUAGAUGAAUAGUACUCACUAGCAAUUUUUUGAUUCGUCCCCAUCAUGUGAAUCCCAUACAGUUGUUGUCAUUAAAUAUUAGUACUACAACUUAUAGGUCAUACUUGUGAGGCAUGUUUCGUAGGCAGUAUUAGAUCAAACUGGACAUUAAUAGAUAAGAUUUAAUUCAUUUCCCAUACAUGCCUACAUGCAUGCAGCAUCACCAACAAUAAAGAUUUUGAUGUUAAAAUUUUUGCCAAGUUGCUUCACAUCUACACCGUUUUUUACACAGCGAACAAAAUUUGAUUUUAAGAACUUUGGCAUUUUCU